GACGAACGCUGGCGGCGUGCUUAACACAUGCAAGUCGAACGAAGUGGCGAACGGGUGAGUAACGCGUAAUAAACCUGCCCUUCAGCGGGGGACAACAGUUGGAAACGAAUGCUAAUACCGCAUACUGAAGGGGGGGAUUGCGUCGGAUUAGCUAGUUGGAGGGGUAACGGCCAACCCAGGCGAUGAUCAGUAGCCGGGCUGAGUGGAUGAACGGCCCCAUUGGGACUGGGACACGGCCCAGACUCCUACGGGAGGCAGCAGGUGGGAAACUUCCGGAAUUGACGAAAAUCUGACGGAGCAACGCCGCGUGAGGGAUGACGGCCUUCGGGUUGUAAAGCUCUGUUAAUCGGGACGCGGUACCGGAAUAGAAAGCCACGGCUAACUACGUGCCAGCAGCCGCGGUAAUAC
rnacentral:rRNA from 1 species